rnacentral:rRNA from 1 species
AUGUGCAUUCCAAAAAUGAGUAGAGGUAUGGGGUUUAGAGAUAUACAUUGCCUCAACCUUGCUCUGCUUGCUAAACGAGCGUGACAAUUAAUCGAGAACUUAGAUUCUCUUUGUGCUAUGGUGCUACAAGAAAGAUACUACCCUUCUGGAGACCCUUUGAAUGCGGAGGCGAAAAAGGUAGCUUCUAUACAUGGCAGAGCAUAUGUUAAGGGAUCAAAACCGUCAAGAAAAAAAAGGUCAUAUGUGGCGUGUCAUGGUAACAGUAUAGACAUCUGGAGGAUAUAUGAGUGGAUCCCCCAUGGUCCUUCGAGAAGAAUUAUAACUAUAUCCUCAAAAAAAAAGAAUUAUAACUAG